rnacentral:lncRNA from 1 species
CUUGAAAUUUGAAACAUUCAAAAAUGGCUCAGUGGAUGGCACAAAGAUCACUCUGUAAUCUCUUGUUAGGUUAAUAGGUUAAAGGUCAAGAUCAGAUUAAACCAGAAUGGUAAAACUUUUCUUUACAGUCAGCAUAUAACUGCUGUUCCUUGUGCAGUUACUGAAUUCAUCAAGGGGGGCAUUUCGUGUUCGACGAGCUCUUGUUAUUUAUGGAAAUGACUUUUCAUUUUUAUUUCAAGUAAGUCAGUUCGCCGGGAGUUUACACAAAUUUGUUGCUAUUCUCAGGGACACUAAGACACAAGAUGCAACACAUGAAUUUCAUAACUCAUAAGUGCAUUAUAACUAAUUUAUGUGGAUUUCAUGGUUUGGUCAGUAAUAUUCCCAUUCAUAUUAUGUUCAAACUUCAAAUUCCACAAAUUUAUAUCCCCACAAUCUGUUUGCCAAGGCCAUGUAAUUCCAUAUCCACAUUACAGUAUUUAAUUAACUGGGCUAGAUAUAUUAACUGUUUAUGCUGUAAUCAUAAACGUUGCUCCAGCAUUUUGUUUUAUAGUCACAUUUUUUGUUCAUGCUGUGUUUACUUAGUCUUGUACAUUUAUUAGAGAUCAGUAUUUUUAACGUUACACACAGGACUGUGUAGUAUAAAUUGUGUAUAUUUUAUAAUAUGAAUUUGGGCAUAAUAUAAAGAAUUACAAACAGCUGGCAAGUGUUCCUUGAUGUCUAAAAUGCAGAAAUUUAAAGAACACUUAAAGUAAAUCAAAUACUUUUUACAAUUGCUUAUGUUAUACUUACAAGUAUUGUUUUAGCUCACCUGAACCAGAAUUCAGGUUGUGUUAUUAGUUAAGAUGGAUGGUCCAGCAUCCGCAGUUGGUUCAUUAACACAUUUAGCCCAGUUUUAAUGAGUUCAAAACUGGGUAAGUGAGAGGCCAUAUUUUCUACUUGAUAAUAAAACCUGAUAAGAAUGUUUGUCUUAAUGAAAUCUGGGCCAAGAUUGAAACCUGGUAAACUAGGACAAUAAUCUAGGUCAGAUCACAGGAAAACUAGGGCCUUAUUGUCUAUAUGAAAUGUAGUCAGAAUAUUUUUUUUUUAAUAACUAGGCUUUUUUCAAAAGUUCAUCUAGGUUCACAGAUUAGGUUACCAGGAAAAGUCAUAGAAAAACCUUUUUAACAUAAUAGCGGCCAGUUUCUAUUUCAUCUCUAUGAAGUUUACCUUAACAGAAUUUAGGUGAAGUUUUAAACUGGAUUAUUUUGUGUUCUAAAACUAGUUCCAAUCCUUAAAACCAUUUUGAACAAUGUAGAGGGCAAUUGUUUUCAUGAGCUGAGACAUGACUAGACCAUCUGAAUCUAGGUCCAGUUCAUAAUCUGGGAUAAAGACAAACUUUCUAUUGGAUUUAUGUGAAAUCUAAUCAGAAUGCUUGUCUUGAUGAAAUCAGUGGAAGUUGCGAAAACUUUUCUUGUCCAUUUAAUUUUGUACUAAAGGGUUGUUAAGUUCUAUGGUUCAGUUUAUCACAUGUAUUCAAUGUCAAACAUCAUGGUCAGGUGAGAAACUUUGGAGCUAUCAAUGCCCUCUUGUGUGGAAAUAUAGACAUUGAUUUUUUGAUGGUGCUUUUAUUUGAUAUGCUUAAUAAAAAUAUUUUAAGCAGAAA